CCUACGGGAGGCAGCAGUGGGGAAUAUUGGACAAUGGGCGAAAGCCUGAUCCAGCCAUGCCGCGUGUGUGAAGAAGGCCUUCGGGUUGUAAAGCACUUUCAGUGGGGAAGAAAGCCUUGGGGCUAAUACCCUCGAGGAAGGACAUCACCCACAGAAGAAGCACCGGCUAACUCCGUGCCAGCAGCCGCGGUAAUACGGAGGGUGCGAGCGUUAAUCGGAAUUACUGGGCGUAAAGCGCGCGUAGGCGGUCUGAUAAGCCGGUUGUGAAAGCCCCGGGCUCAACCUGGGAACGGCAUCCGGAACUGUCAGGCUAGAGUGCAGGAGAGGAAGGUAGAAUUCCCGGUGUAGCGGUGGAAUGCGUAGAGAUCGGGAGGAAUACCAGUGGCGAAGGCGGCCUUCUGGACUGACACUGACGCUGAGGUGCGAAAGCGUGGGUAGCAAACAGGAUUAGAUACCCGAGUAGUC
rnacentral:rRNA from 1 species